rnacentral:rRNA from 1 species
UACGUAGGGUCCAAGCGUUAUCCGGAAUCACUGGGCGUAAAGCGUGCGUAGGUGGCGUGUUAAGUGAGAUGUGAAACCGUGUGGCUCAACCAUACGUUGUGUCUCAUACUGGCAUGCUAGAGGACGGCAGAGGCAAGUGGAAUUACGAGUGUAGCAGUGAAAUGCGUAGAGAUUCGUAGGAACACCAAUGGCGAAGGCAGCUUGCUGGGCCACUCCUGACACUGAGGUACGAAAGCGUGGGGAGCGAACAGG